rnacentral:lncRNA from 1 species
UGUGUCUUGGUUUGUCAAUAAGUAUAUUGAUUUACUGAAUGUUUAUUGUAAAACUGAGUGUAUAUGCAAUGUAGGUAUAUGUUAGUUAUAAUUUAUUCCUAGUGAUUUAUCCAAAUAGUCAAUAUUUUAUACACUAUAUUAUAUAGUGAGAUUUAAAUACAAAUCUAGAACAAGGAUUAUGUAAAAUGUGUAAUACUCUUUAAAGUACAAAUUAUAAAUAAUUUUAAUAAAGGUACCUAUUAUAAGUAUACAAUGUUAGUUAUAAUUUAUUCCCAGUGAUUUAUCCAAAUAGUCAAUAUUUUAUACACUAUGUUAUAUAGUGAGAUUUAAAUACAAAUUUAGAACAAAGAUUAUGUAAAAUGUGUAAUACUCUUUUAAGUACAAAUUAUAAAUAAUUUUAAUUAAGGUACCCAUUUUAAGUAUACAAAAUUAAUAAAACAAUUAAUUAUAUUUGAUUAAUCUUCAUAAUGAUUUCUUUACCUUUCCAAAACAUGUUAUCUUCUUCAUUGUGAUAGGAAAUUGUAUUAUGAUAAGACAAGUUUUGAUGUGUAUAUUUUAUUUUAAUAUUAACAAUUCAAUAAAACCUAAUAUCAAUUUAUUAUGAAAGUCUCAAAUUUAUACUUUAACCAUUUAAAUUUUAAUAAGUGAAAGUAUUAGAAGACCAAUCUAUAUAUUGAUAUCCUAAAUUAAUAUAAUUAAAUUAUAAGACAUUUGUACUCAUAUUUCUUAAAUAGUCCCUAAAUAGAUUUUUGUUUAUAGAUUUUUUUCCUACAUAAAUAUAAUAUUUAUGGAGAAUAACAUUAAUAAUUUUUAUUUAUAUUUAUAUUUAACACAUCUCUCAAAGGUGUAAGUUGAACUAUAUACAUAAAAUAAUGACAGUAUAUAAUACUAAUGAUAGAUUUACACUAUCAACAGAAUUUUUUUUCAAAAAUCUUGUUUCAUAUAAAUAAAUAAAAGAAAAAAUAUAAAUGACUUAACUCAUAAAUUUCAUUUCUAAAUACACUAAACAUUUAGAGAUCAUUUACAAAAUAUGAGCUAUAUUUUCUUAAAAUAUUUUAAUAUAUAAUUAAAUAAAUGUAUAAUUUACCUUUUUUACAUUGAUAUACUUAAGUUAUACAUUUGAGAUAUUCAAAGCAAUUUUGAAUUAGGUUCAAUGAACACAAAAUAUUUUAAACUGUAUUUUUGCUAAUGAUAAAAUUUGAUAUUAAUUUCUAUAAUAAUGUAAAUUGUAUUACCCAAACAGAUAUGCUUAAUUAAAACACAGAAAAAUGUCAAAACUUUAUACAAAAGACACAUAUGUGUUAUCAACAUAAUCAAUAUUGAGAAAUCUUGUUUAAUACAAACAAAUCAAAAUGAUUGUAUCUAUACAUCUUUCACUAAUAGUUAUAGAUUAGUUAAAAAUACCAAAUAUUUAGGAAAUUGCUGAAAAAUUUGUAUACUUAAUACAUAUAUACACAUUACACAAUAUCAAGUUAUGAAAUUAUAAAAAUAUCAUUGACAACAAAUAAAACAGAUUGGACUAUCAGUAUAAGGUAUAUAAGGUGUAUUAUUCAAUGUCUGUCUCCUAAUAUAUAAUAUUUUCGUAUAAAUCUAAUAUAAAAAUACCAACUCAUAUACAAACCAUCUAAAGAAUAUGAAUACAUUUUUAUUAUAUUUAAUAAAUGAUUGAUUUGAUUUAAGGACAUUUUAUUUAUCAUAUUUACUAUAAUUCAACUAAUUUAAAUUGAAAUAAUUUGGGAAUUUUAAGAUUUUAAAUUGACAUUGUCUGUUAUUGAUUUUUAAAUUUAAAAAAAACAACACAUUGUACUGAUUUCAAUCAAAAAAUUAUUUUAGAAUGAACAAAAAAUAGCCAUAAGUAUAUAUUUCUUUAUAAUGAAGUAUGGAAUUUUUUUUCUCAAUAAAUUUGUAUUCUGAAAAGGGUUAGUUUAGUUGAUUUAUAAAUAUUGAAAAAUGUCAGUACUUCUUACAAAGGAAGGAAAUAUUUUAUCAGCAUAAUUCUAAAUAGUAUCCUUUCAAUUUUAAAUGAAGAUCAUAGAUACAAUCCUAAAUGUACAGCUAAGAAAAGUAUGGAUAAAUUAAUUUAUUUUAUAUAUGAACUUACUUCGGCUUUUAAGUAAUACAAUUUUCAUGACAAAAAAAGUAAUAUCAAAUUUUAUAAUCGUCAAUUAAUUAUGAAAAUUCUAAAAUUGUGCCUUUUUAAAAUCAAAUAUAUAUUAGUUAAAUUAUUGUGAAAAUGAUUUACUAAAGUGUUUUGCUUCUUCAGUUUUAAUUCUAAGAACCAUUAAAUCAUUUAAUCUUUCAGCACCAAUUAAUGUCCUCAAGAAAUUGUUUAUCAAUUUUGGUGAAGAAAGAAACGUUCACUUGAUGCAGUUGUCACUGGUAAUGUUAACAUUAUAGACAAUAUUUUUGUGAUUUCAGGAAAUGCAAACGGUAGCUUUAAAACAAUAUUAAAUAUUAAUUUUAAUUUUAAUUGGGACAUGUCUUCUAGUUCAAAUGUUGCCUUAAUUAAAGAAAAUUCUGAUGGCAGGCUUAAGAGGACGUUUUACCCACAUCUACUGUCU